CCCACCCGGAAAGAAUAAAAUAUUUAAACGUUUAUAACGAGUCAUCAUACAGCAAGCUCUACGUCUUUUCUAAAAAAAAAAAUUCCAAAGAAAUUCGCGUGAAGAAAGAUUUUUACUCGCGUCGCGGUAUAUACUUCAACUGUUUUUGAACUUUUAUUGCGUUGCUGCAGAGCAAGAGCGGCGAAAAUACAACAAGACGGAUUCGAAAAAACGUGUGUGGAGUGCAAAGUGCUGCUCUCUCUCUCUCUCUCUCCCCGAUGGCGAUGAUGGUGGAGGGAGAGCACGAUUCUCUGUGUGUGUGUGUAUUUAUGUGUCGCGUCGCCUUGCGAUUGCUGUGCGCGUUUUUCGUUCAUUCGCCGUCGCCGCAAACUCACACACUGACGGCCAUUGUUGCUUGCUCAGUAGCAGCAGGCAGCGGCUGCAGUCAUGGUGCAAAGAAGCUACAAGGUAUGGCAUUGUGCAGGUCCGUUAUUUGAUCUCUCCGUGUGACGUCGUAAUAAACAUCAUAUUGUGAUUAUUGUCGUCACGUGUAAUUUAAUGCGCAGUUAAAUUAUAUAAAGUCACUUUGUGUAGCAAAAACUGCUAUAAGAGGCCUCAGAAAUGAAAUGCCAGCCACACAAAGGGGCAAAUAGUUUCUUGCGCUAUCACUCCAUUGUCUACGUGGAGCAUAUUAUGACGUAUCGCACAGUGAGAGUAAGCAAGUUGAAGUCGUAAAUGCCAUACCUUUUCUCUUUUUACCGUGGGCUGCACCAGCACUGCCGACACACAUAUUUUGUCGCUUCUGCCGCCGUUGUUGUUGCCGUUGUCGUUGUGUAGUCGCAGCCGUCCCGUCUCGUGUGUCGUCGUUGUCGGUUUUCGCCGCCGUAGUUUGCUUGCUGCUGCCCUGCCUGUUACUCCCGACUGCCUGAUUGCAUUUCUUGAGAUCAUCAUUUCGCUAUUAAUAACGAUUGUUGUUUAUAUUUUGUUUACUAUGCAAAUUUUUUUUAGCAAGAACAUCUAAAAGUUCUAGCAAAAAAAGAACCCCUAUAAAAAAUAAGCACAUUGACAACCAACCACAACGUCGUACAUACACACAUACAAGCAUACAUAGUUAAAAUCAUUUGUUCAAAAAAAAAAUUAAAACUGCGUAAAUGUUAUUUACAAAUAAAAAACAAGAAACAACAUAGUAACAAAGAACAUCAUAUUAAACAGCAACAACAACCAUACGAAGCAAAGAAAAAGAAUAAAAGUAAGAAAAGUGCAAAGCAAAAGUAGCGGAAAGGUGAAGACAAAAGCAGAGCGCGCCUUGCUGUGCUGCUGAGAGACGAGACGACGCAGCGCAGGCAGACCAGCAAGAGAGCGUAAGCAGUAAGCACAUUACGACGCGAACGCGACCUACUAAAAAGACUCCUUUGUCGAGAUUUCCAGCAAAAAAAAAAACUAAUUAAGGACUAUUAAGAGACUGCUUCAAAGGAACAACAACAAAAUCUAAAAGCCACAAGGAAAAAAUUUAUUUUUCAUAAAAAUAAAAGGAGAAAGGAACGGAAGACUAAAAAGCAAUUACAAAUAACACAAAAUAUUUAUUAUAAAC